rnacentral:rRNA from 1 species
AAUUCUCCUGAUCUAAAUGCACUUGAUCUUGAAUAUUUCAGAUCCCUUGAGUCUUUGACCGACUAUAGAGCACCCACAACUAUCAAAGAAUUGAUUCAAGGUGUGCAGGAACAAUUUGAUGAGUAUGAUGCCGGAAAACUCAACAGAAUAUUUCUAACACUUCAAACCGUCAUGGUAGAAGUGAUGAACCAUGAAGGGGAAAAUUCAUACAAAAUUCCACAUUUGCGCAAGGAUAGAUUGGAAAGGCAAGGAAUCCUACCACCUAGGAUUCACUUUCCCCGUGAAGUUUAUGAACAUGCCAUGGAUAUUCUAGAACAAGAUGUCCAGUGA